GCGGGAGUAACUCAGUUGGUAGAGUGCAACCUUGCCAAGGUUGAUGUCGCGAGUUCGAACCUCGUCUCCCGCUCCA
rnacentral:tRNA from 1 species